rnacentral:rRNA from 1 species
CCUACGGGUGGCAGCAGUGAGGAAUAUUGGUCAAUGGACGAGAGUCUGAACCAGCCAAGUAGCGUGAAGGAUGACUGCCCUAUGGGUUGUAAACUUCUUUUAUAUGGGAGUAAAAUGUUCCACGUGUGGGCUUUUGUAUGUACCAUAUGAAUAAGGAUCGGCUAACUCCGUGCCAGCAGCCGCGGUAAUACGGAGGAUCCGAGCGUUAUCCGGAUUUAUUGGGUUUAAAGGGUGCGUAGGUGGAUUGUUAAGUCAGUGGUGAAAGUUUGCGGCUCAACCGUGAAAUUGCAGUUAAUACUGGUAGACUUGAGAACAGUAGCGGUGGGCGGAAUGCGUGGUGUAGCGGUGAAAUGCUUAGAGAUCACGAAGAACUCCGAUUGCGAAGGCAGCAUACCGGAGUUUAACUGACGCUCAUGCACGAAAGCGUGGGUAUCGAACAGGAUUAGAUACCCGAGUAGUC